rnacentral:rRNA from 1 species
ACGAACGCUGGCGGCGUGCUUAACACAUGCAAGUCGAACGCUGAACCGGUUUCGGCCGGGGAUUAGUGGCGAACGGGUGAGUAACACGUGGGCAAUCUGCCCUGCACUCUGGGAUAAGCCCGGGAAACUGGGUCUAAUACCGGAUACGACACUCCGAGGCAUCUUGGGGUGUGGAAAGUUCCGGCGGUGCAGGAUGAGCCCGCGGCCUAUCAGCUUGUUGGUGGGGUAAUGGCCUACCAAGGCGACGACGGGUAGCCGGCCUGAGAGGGUGACCGGCCACACUGGGACUGAGACACGGCCCAGACUCCUACGGGAGGCAGCAGUGGGGAAUAUUGCACAAUGGGCGAAAGCCUGAUGCAGCGACGCCGCGUGAGGGAUGACGGCCUUCGGGUUGUAAACCUCUUUCAGCAGGGAAGAAGCGAAAGUGACGGUACCUGCAGAAGAAGCACCGGCUAACUACGUG